ACUCGAACUCGCAGCAGCGCUCACCCACGCGGAACCUUUUGCAUUUCUGCAGAACAGCGAUAUGAGAUUGGUAACAAGUAUCAAAUAUUACAACUAUGGGCAAUCAUUAGCAUGCAAGCAAAACUCGUCACAUGCGAAUUAUAGUUCAGGCCCUAUUGCCCUACAUGAGACCUAUCGCAGAAAAACGCAUCGCAUUAAGCUUGCUAAAACGAGCGUGCGUAUAUAGAUGUUUAACAAUGUAUGAAACGACUUUAUUGCAUGAAUAUAUACAAUCAAGUGUAUCUACACACCUACACAUAUUUAUAAAGAUAUUUUAUGACACAUACGACACAUACAUUUUAUGAUUCGUCAAUUUUUUAUCUUUUGCGAGUAUGAAACAGUUAAACUAUAUGAUUAAAGACAAAAUACAUGCUCUCUAAAUAAUCAAAGUGAAUUUUAAAGAAAAAUUAAAAAAAGACUCGACGA